GCAUUAAAUUGCUAAAAUUUGUCAUCCAAAGUUCCAAUUUCUUUUGAACCUUGAAGACUUCAUUUGCAUUCUUGUAGGAAUUAGAUGUGGAAUCAUUUUGCAAUGCUUGUGGUCUUGAGACCAGCAGUGAUGAAUGGGGAAAUAAGUUCUUAUCAACCAAGCAAACAAACUUCCAUUAUCCCAAGGAAGUCUUUCCAAGCUACUGCCUUAUGGGUUUGGAACACUUUUAGAGAAACAUGCAAAACUCCAUGAAUCUAUGGUGCUAUGGUGGCCUACAUUCAUAUAACUGGGGACACUUUGGUUUACACCACAAUGACCCCAAACAGGGUUUGUAGAGGCUUUAUCAAGAUCACUAGCUUUAAAAGACUAAGGAAAGAAAGAUGUUCUCAAUGAAAACUUGGAGUCAAAUUGCAGAUAAAGACCUAAAACUCCCAUUCAAUGUGUUUUAGGAAUUGUUGUUUCAUGGGAUAAGCUGCUUGGUUUGUACAUGUCUCCUUGGUGAUACUUAGAGAUUGGAAAAGUAUACUCUCCUUUGUGAUCUGGUUUGUAUAUGGGCAGAUGAAUGUUCAUGCCAGGUUCAUAUAUGUUUCUGACAUAUAUCACCCUGGAAGGAUCUAGAUCAAGGGGAUGAGUUUGAAAAGCUUGAGUAGGUUUAAGAUGUUCCCAGAAUUGGUGAGCAUGAUAUAUAUCAACAUGAUAUUGCAGAAGACAACAGAGCUUCUGAAAUAUAUCAGGUUCAAUAGUAGGAAAUCUUAUCAGCUGUCA